UACGAAGAUAAACGUAUAUCUGGUACCGC
rnacentral:sRNA from 1 species